rnacentral:tRNA from 1 species
CCCUGGGUGGCUCAGUGGGUUGAGUGUCUGACUUCAAUUCAGCUAAGGUCAUGAUCUCACGAUUUGUGAGUUCAAGCCCCACACCGGGCU